CCAGAAUCGUCGGACUUCAGAAAUAGACUAUUAAUAAGGCAAACAAUCUAGAACUACGGUAUAGAAUUCGACAUGUAUUGUAAGUAUAUUAUUAUACAGCCUGAUUAUAUAAAUAGGACUAUUUGUGCAAUUAGAAUAGAGCUUCACACAUGUGUCAGAAGAUACUUAAACUCAUGACUGUUAAAAUAUCUCAACAAAUGUUCAGUUUCAUGUAUAAUAAUCCAUGUAAAAGG